rnacentral:rRNA from 1 species
UACAGAGGGGGCAAGCGUUGUUCGGAAUUACUGGGCGUAAAGGGCGCGUAGGCGGCCUGUUAAGUCGAACGUGAAAUCCCCGGGCUCAACCCGGGAACUGCGUCCGAUACUGGCAGGCUUGAAUCCGGGAGAGGGAUGCGGAAUUCCAGGUGUAGCGGUGAAAUGCGUAGAUAUCUGGAGGAACACCGGUGGCGAAGGCGGCAUCCUGGACCGGCAUUGACGCUAAGGCGCGAAAGCCAGGGGAGCAAACGGG